AACUAACAACAAUCCAUUUCAUCAUUUUCUUUCCAAUCUCUCUCUAUCUCUUUGUCUCUCCAUACCAGUAAACAUAUAAAACGCAGACAGAGAAGCAAAGUAAUUAAAGGAUGCUGGCUCGGGCGGGUCUGGGAAAGCUAGUGGAGAGUCUGAAAAUGAGGCUGAUUAAGUCACUGAAGACGAAGAAGAAUUAUGAUAAGAUAGAGAAGAGCGACAGCAUGAGAGUGGAAAUCAAAAGCAAGAAGGCCCAAAAGCUGAUUCAGGCGACCAUGAAGAUAGCUGACUCUCCUAAGACCAGAACUUAUACCAUGUAAUAGUUAAGGCCUUCUAAAAUAUCUCUCCUUUUCAAUAACUAAAGCACAGACAUAAAUGAAUCCAUCAUCUUCUUCAUCUCGAUACUAGAUGUGUUAGAUGUCAGAAUUUACUACUAGCACUUAUCUAUC